rnacentral:rRNA from 1 species
GACAGAGGGUGCAAACGUUGUUCGGAAUUGCUGGGCGUAAAGCGUGUGUAGGCGGUCCUAUAAGUCGGAUGUGAAAGCCCUGGGCUCAACCCAGGAAGUGCACUCGAUACUGUAGGACUUGAGUCUCGGAGAGGUUGGUGGAAUUCUCGGUGUAGAGGUGAAAUUCGUAGAUAUCGAGAGGAACAUCGGUGGCGAAGGCGGCCAACUGGACGAUGACUGACGCUGAGACACGAAAGCGUGGGGAGCAAACAGG